GCUCAGUAACACGUGGCCAAACUACCCUAUGGAUCCGAAUAACCUCGGGAAACUGAGGCUAAUAUGGAAUACUGUUCAUCGCCUGGAGUGGCACGAACGCGAAACGUUACGGCGCCAUAGGAUGUGGCUGCGGCCGAUUAGGUAGACGGUGGGGUAACGGCCCACCGUGCCCAUAAUCGGUACGGGUUGUGAGAGCAAGAGCCCGGAGACGGUAUCUGAGACAAGAUACCGGGCCCUACGGGGCGCAGCAGGCGCGAAACCUUUACACUGCACGCGAGUGCGAUAAGGGGACUCCGAGUGCGAGGGCAUAUAGUCCUCGCUUUUCACGACCGUAAGGUGGUCGUAGAAUAAGUGCUGGGCAAGACCGGUGCCAGCCGCCGCGGUAAUACCGGCAGCACGAGUGAUGACCGCUAUUAUUGGGCCUAAAGCGUCCGUAGCUGGGCACGCAAGUCUAUCGGGAAAUCCGCGCGCUUAACGCGCGAGCGUCCGGUGGAAACUGCGUGGCUUGGGACCGGAAGACCAGAGGGGUACGUCCGGGGUAGGAGUGAAAUCCCGUAAUCCUGGACGGACCACCGGUGGCGAAAGCGCCUCUGGAAGACGGAUCCGACGGUGAGGGACGAAAGCUCGGGUCACGAACCGGAUUAUAUACCCGGGUAGUCCGAGCUGUAAACGAUGUCUGCUAGGUGUGGCACAGGCUACGAGCCUGUGCUGAGCCGUAGGGAAGCCGUGAAGCAGACCGCCUGGGAAGUACGUCCGCAAGGAUGAAACUUAAAGGAAUUGGCGGGGGAGCACUACAACCGGAGGAGCCUGCGGUUUAAUUGGACUCAACGCCGGACAUCUCACCAGCAUCGACAAUGUGCAGUGAACGUCAGGUUGAUGACCUUACUGGAGCCAUUGAGAGGAGGUGCAUGGCCGCCGUCAGCUCGUACCGUGAGGCGUCCUGUUAAGUCAGGCAACG
rnacentral:rRNA from 1 species